rnacentral:rRNA from 1 species
AAAUUGAAGAGUUUGAUCAUGGCUCAGAUUGAACGCUGGCGGCAGGCCUAACACAUGCAAGUCGAACGGUAACAGGAAGAAGCUUGCUUCUUUGCUGACGAGUGGCGGACGGGUGAGUAAUGUCUGGGAAACUGCCUGAUGGAGGGGGAUAACUACUGGAAACGGUAGCUAAUACCGCAUAACGUCGCAAGACCAAAGAGGGGGACCUUCGGGCCUCUUGCCAUCGGAUGUGCCCAGAUGGGAUUAGCUAGUAGGUGGGGUAACGGCUCACCUAGGGCGCGAUCCCUAGCUGGUCUGAGAGGAUGACCAGCCACACUGGAACUGAGACACGGUCCAGACUCCUACGGGAGGCAGCAGUGGGGAAUAUUGCACAAUGGGCGCAAGCCUGAUGCAGCCAUGCCGCGUGUAUGAAGAAGGCCUUCGGGUUGUAAAGUACUUUCAGCGGGGAGGAAGGGAGUAAAGUUAAUACCUUUGCUCAUUGACGUUACCCGCAGAAGAAGCACCGGCUAACUCCGUGCCAGCAGCCGCGGUAAUACGGAGGGUGCAAGCGUUAAUCGGAAUUACUGGGCGUAAAGCGCACGCAGGCGGUUUGUUAAGUCAGAUGUGAAAUCCCCGGGCUCAACCUGGGAACUGCAUCUGAUACUGGCAAGCUUGAGUCUCGUAGAGGGGGUAGAAUUCCAGGUGUAGCGGUGAAAUGCGUAGAGAUCUGGAGGAAUACCGGUGGCGAAGGCGGCCCCCUGGACGAAGACUGACGCUCAGGUGCGAAAGCGUGGGGAGCAAACAGGAUUAGAUACCCUGGUAGUCCACGCCGUAAACGAUGUCGACUUGGAGGUUGUGCCCUUGAGGCGUGGCUUCCGGAGCUAACGCGUUAAGUCGACCGCCUGGGGAGUACGGCCGCAAGGUUAAAACUCAAAUGAAUUGACGGGGGCCCGCACAAGCGGUGGAGCAUGUGGUUUAAUUCGAUGCAACGCGAAGAACCUUACCUGGUCUUGACAUCCACGGAAGUUUUCAGAGAUGAGAAUGUGCCUUCGGGAACCGUGAGACAGGUGCUGCAUGGCUGUCGUCAGCUCGUGUUGUGAAAUGUUGGGUUAAGUCCCGCAACGAGCGCAACCCUUAUCCUUUGUUGCCAGCGGUCCGGCCGGGAACUCAAAGGAGACUGCCAGUGAUAAACUGGAGGAAGGUGGGGAUGACGUCAAGUCAUCAUGGCCCUUACGACCAGGGCUACACACGUGCUACAAUGGCGCAUACAAAGAGAAGCGACCUCGCGAGAGCAAGCGGACCUCAUAAAGUGCGUCGUAGUCCGGAUUGGAGUCUGCAACUCGACUCCAUGAAGUCGGAAUCGCUAGUAAUCGUGGAUCAGAAUGCCACGGUGAAUACGUUCCCGGGCCUUGUACACACCGCCCGUCACACCAUGGGAGUGGGUUGCAAAAGAAGUAGGUAGCUUAACCUUCGGGAGGGCGCUUACCACUUUGUGAUUCAUGACUGGGGUGAAGUCGUAACAAGGUAACCGUAGGGGAACCUGCGGUUGGAUCACCUCCUUACCUUAAAGAAGC